ACAAUAUCUCCUGGCCCCAGUCUCCUGUGUCACCUACCCCACAGGUCUACCUGUUUGAGUUGCACAUCACCGAUGCCCAGGCCAGCUCUGCUGGUGGCUACCGCUGCGAGGUGUCCACCAAGGACAAAUUUGACAGCUGCAACUUCAACCUCACUGUCCAUGAGGCCAUUGGCCCCGGAGACUUGGACCUGCGAUCGGCUUUCCGCCGCACGAGCCUGGCCGGAGGAGGUCGGCGAACCAGUGACAGCCACGAGGACACUGGGACUCUGGACUUCAGCUCCCUGCUGAAGAAGAGGUGAGGCCCAGGGAGUCAUCUCUGGUGCAGAUAUUGAGGCCCAGUUUCAAAUCCCAGCACUGUGGUUUUCUAGCUGUGUGGCCCUGAGAAACUCACUGUGCCUCUCUGAGCUGGUUUCCAUGUCUAUCCAGAGGAGUGGUUCCUG
rnacentral:lncRNA from 1 species